rnacentral:tRNA from 2 species
GUCGAAGUGGCGGAAUAGGCAGACGCACCAGUUUAAGGGACUGGCGCCUUAGGGCGUGGGGGUUCAAGUCCCCCCUUCGACACCA